UACGGAGGGAGCUAGCGUUGUUCGGAAUUACUGGGCGUAAAGCGUACGUAGGCGGUUAUUCAGGUCAGAGGUGAAAGCCCGGGGCUCAACCCCGGAACUGCCUUUGAAACUAGAUAGCUAGAAUCUUGGAGAGGUCAGUGGAAUUCCGAGUGUAGAGGUGAAAUUCGUAGAUAUUCGGAAGAACACCAGUGGCGAAGGCGACUGACUGGACAAGUAUUGACGCUGAGGUACGAAAGCGUGGGGAGCAAACAGG
rnacentral:rRNA from 1 species